AGACCCACCCCGGGCAGACUUGCGCGAUUAGGGAAGGCAUCUGGUAUCUAUAUUUUUUGAUCUUUAACAUGUUAUGUUGCCUGCUGGCCUUGUUGGCUUUGUUCCGUGGCUUAUAUAAGUCUGGCACAGUUCGGGCGCAAGACUGCCAGAGUUGCGGUUGCAGGAACACUGAUCGUCACGUCUGUAUUAAAUAUUUGUGUAUUUUAUUUUUUUUUUAUAUAUUCUCGUAUCACGCGAUAAACAGUCAUUUGUAGGAAUACAUUAUUCGUGAGUGUUCAAGUAAGUUUCCCAAACAGAACGUAUAUUCGUAAAAACCCCGUUUCCCUGUCCGUUAUCGACAUUGUCGACACGCGCAGAGCUACGGCAGGUUACGUUCCGCAGAAAUGACGAUUCGCGCGUACGUCGGAUCUAGUGAGCAGAUGGCACAGUUCCAGUGACUCGUUCAGAGUUCCGCGUUACGGGUGUAUCGCUCUCGUUUGAGCUGCCCGUCUCGUGUGCCACUGUAAUGAUCUGACAACGCGUGCGAUUCGAUUCUGAUCCGAUUAUUCGGUGGCUGCGACGUCGUUGAAUGACAUACGACUCUGUUCGGAACAUUGUACACAUUACGAAAACGUUAAUUUUUCUUUGGUAUAUCCCACAAAAGCUGAGCAAUCAACUCAACCGUGGCCAAUCGCUGUUACAAAGUGAAUUGUACCGGACCGGUCCUGUGUUAUCGCUAAUGAACUAGGUUAAUGAAGCAAAUGAGCCGAGACAACAAAAUGUAUUAGAUACCUAUUGAAGAGUAUCGGAAUGUGAGAAAAGGUGACUCUUCUGAAAGUCAUGGUACGGAUAAAGUACUGUGAUCAGAGAACGAAUAUUUUAUAUGUGUUUUAAUAAAGAUAUUAUACUAAUUCAGUGGCGUAAUUG